CUUGAUCGACCCGAGCCAGAGCGGACGGUCGGCCGGCCGGUCCUGCCCGUAGGUGGCCAGCAGGGCCUGUGCCUC
rnacentral:antisense_RNA from 1 species